GAUGAACGCUAGCGGGAGGCUUAACACAUGCAAGUCGAGGGGUAUUGUAGCAAUACAUUAGACCGGCGCACGGGUGAGUAACGCGUAUGCAACCUGCCGUUAACCGGGGGAUAGCCCGUCGAAAGGCGGAUUAAUACCCCAUAAUAUUGGGAUUCUGCAUGGGAUUUCAAUUAAAGCUGAGGUGGUUAACGAUGGACAUGCGUGACAUUAGCUAGUUGGUAGGGUAACGGCCUACCAAGGCUACGAUGUCUAGGGGUUCUGAGAGGAAGGUCCCCCACACUGGUACUGAGACACGGACCAGACUCCUACGGGAGGCAGCAGUGAGGAAUAUUGGUCAAUGGACGAGAGUCUGAACCAGCCAAGUCGCGUGAAGGAAGACGGUUCUAUGAAUUGUAAACUUCUUUUGUGCAGGAAUAAAGUGGGUUACGUGUAACCUUUUGUAUGUACUGUACGAAUAAGGAUCCGGCCUAACUCCGUGCCAGCAGCCGACGGUAAACUGUAGUCGU
rnacentral:rRNA from 1 species